rnacentral:rRNA from 1 species
UCAGACGAUGCGUCAUGCAUAUCAAUAAGCGGAGGAAAAGAAACUAACUAGGAUUCCCUUAGUAACGGCGAGUGAAGCGGGAAGAGCUCAAAUUUGAAAUCUUAAAGGGUUUCCCUUUACGAAUUGUAGUUUAAAGAAGUGUUUUCUGUUAGAGUUUCGGUAAAAGUUCUUUGGAAUAGGACAUCAUAGAGGGUGAGAAUCCCGUAUUUGACCAUUAUUUCUAGCUUUGUGAUACACUUUCAAAGAGUCGGAUUGUUUGGGAAUGCAGUCCAAAAUGGGUGGUAAAUUUCAUCUAAAGCUAAAUAUUGGCGAGAGACCGAUAGCGAACAAGUACCGUGAGGGAAAGAUGAAAAGAACUUUGAAAAGAGAGUUAAACAGUACGUGAAAUUGUCAAAAGGGAAGCGUUUGACACCAGUGUUGUUUUCUCGAAAAUCAAUUAAAAAAGGCAGGAUUUUGUGUUGUAUUGACUUUAUCAGCUUUCUGCACUCUUUUCUUGUCUUUUUUUAAUGCACUUUUCGUUUAACAAGUCAACAUCAAUUUCUUUUGUUGUAAAAGGGUCAUUGGAAGGUGGCUUUCUUUUCGGAGAAAGUGUUUAUAGCCUUUGGCCUCUGCAAUCGGAGAGAUUGAGGUCUGCAGCGUAGAUCCUUCGGGGUUAGAUACAUUUGUGCUAAGUUAUAGCCUUUCAUAGACAACUUGUUGACUAUGAUCAGUCAUGUAGCUUACUCGCUUAUGCUAUUUUACCUACGCUUAGGAUGUUGAUCUACAGAGCGAGAGU